ensembl:lncRNA
CCAACAAGUCAGUAACACAGACAGCAAGGCUUCAAAACAAAGCAUUGCGCUGUACAGACUUAACUCCUGUUGUGCCACACUAUUUGCCAGAUGUCUGUGGAGUCGCUGUUCCCGGCACUUGAGACUGAGGAAAUUUUGCCAGAUGGAACUCUCAGAAAAACCAGCAGUUGUGGACAAGGGGCCUUCAGGCCUGAGUUGAGGUCUGCUCCUUUUACCAAGCCAAACCAGAAAGCCCCAGUUUCAGGACAGUCCAUAUGGCAGAGCUGUGGAGGCUGGGACAUGAAAAGCCUGGUAAACUUGCUUCUCCAGUCCUCCAGAAGCCUACUUGAUAGGGUAUCAAGAAGUGGGUGUACAAGUAUAGAUGGGGACAACCUCUGAUGAGAUUAUGGCAAUUUUCAGGCAAAACUGAUUUUCUUUUUGAAGAACUGAG